AUUGAACGCUGGCGGCAGGCCUAACACAUGCAAGUCGAACGAGUGGCGGACGGGUGAGUAAUGUCUGGGAAACUGCCUGAUGGAGGGGGAUAACUACUGGAAACGGUAGCUAAUACCGCAUACCAUCGGAUGUGCCCAUAUGGGAUUAGCUCUUAGGUGGGGUAAGGGCGCACCGAGGCGACGAUCCCUAUCUGGUGUGAUAGGAUGACCAGCCACCCUGGAACUGAGACACGUUCCAGACUCCUACGGGAGGCAGCAGUGGGGAAUAUUGCACAAUGGGCGCAAGCCUGAUGCAGCCAUGCCGCGUGUAUGAAGAAGGCCUUCGUGUUGUAAAGUACUUUCAGCGGGGAGGCGUUACCCGCAGAAGAAGCACCGGCUAACUCCGUGCCAGCCGCCGCGGUAAUAC
rnacentral:rRNA from 1 species